CCUUACACUGCGUACUUCUUUCCAGUUCCAUACUAUUUUGUCAUGGCUAUGGAAUGUAAAGAAGUAUGUAGUGUUUCU
rnacentral:pre_miRNA from 1 species